UUNUGUGCCGGAGUUAACGCAAUAAGUACCCCGCCUGGGGAGUACGACCGCAAGGUUGAAACUCAAAGGAAUUGACGGGGGCCCGCACAANCNGUGGAGUAUGUGGUUUAAUUNGACGCAACGCGAAGAACCUUNNCAGGUCUUGACANUGANGGACAGAACCAGAGAUGGUUCCUCUUNUUCNGAAGCCAGAAAACAGGUGGUGCACGGUUGUCGUCAGCUCGUGUCGUGAGAUGUUGGGUUAAGUCCCGCAACGAGCGCAACCCCUAUNUUAUGUUGCCAGCACNUAANGGUGGGAANUCAUGAGAGACUGCCGCAGACAAUGCGGAGGAAGGCGGGGAUGACGUCAAAUCAUCAUGCCCCUUAUGACCUGGGCUACACACGUACUACAAUGGGAGUUAAUAGACGGAAGCAAGAUCGCGAGANGGAGCAA
rnacentral:rRNA from 1 species